rnacentral:rRNA from 1 species
AUUGAACGCUGGCGGCAGGCCUAACACAUGCAAGUCGAACGAGUGGCGGACUGGUGAGUUAUGUCUGGGAAACUGCCUGAUGGAGGGGGAUAACUACUGGAAACGGUAGCUAAUACCGCAUACCAUCAGAUGUGCCCAGAUGGGAUUAGCUAGUUGGUGGGGUAACGGCUCACCAAGGCGACGAUCCCUAGCUGGUCUGAGAGGAUGACCGACCACACUGGAACGGGGACACGGUCCAGAAUCAUACGAGAGGCAGCAGUAGGGAAUAUAGCGCGAUGGGCGCAAGCCGGAUGAAGCCAUGCCGCGUGUAUGAAGAAGGCCUUCGGAUUGUAAAGUACUUUAAGCGGGGAGGCGUUACCCACAAAAGAAGCACCGGCUAACUCCGUGCCAGCAGCCGCGGUAAUUC